UUGAAUGUUUAAGUAAUUAUUUAGUAUAUUGAAAAUGAUUGUUUCAUGUUCCUUCUCCAAACAUGUAUAAAUCAUGUAGAACUAUUAUAUUCAGGACGGUGAACAAUUUGUUAGAUAAAUUCAUGCUGAGAAAACAUGAAAUUGUUAGGUUUUUUUUUAAUCUCCGCCCAAUCUGAUUCUAAACACGUCAUUAAAAACUCAAACGAGGUUGAGAUGCUGCCUGGGCCCUGCCCUAGCGGUGACGCAACGCUUUUGAAAUUGCCUCAGCUUCAGCUAUGGUCGGCAAUCAGGCGAAGUAGAUCCAGAAAUUUUCUGUUUCUCUCCUGCUUGUACAAGAGGUCAUUUGUGGGAAGACAGUUGACAGUUGGAAGAAAAAAGAUGAUUCUAAGCACACUUAUGCCGUGAGUGCACACCCACCAUCUUUCCUUUCUCAUCUGCCUCGACAAGAGUAACUACAGAAUCGGCUGUGGAGGGAACAACGUUUACACUUCGGAGAUUAUUUGACGAUGGAAGGAUUUAUUGGCAAGGUGAAUGUGGCGUUGUAAGGGGCGCUCAUAGUCGUUCCAACAAGACACGAUUUGCUGACCCAUUAUAUGCGCAAACUCAGGACUUCGGUCGCCCUGCAAGGUGAAUGUGGCGUUGUAAGGGGCGCUCAUAGUCGUUCCAACAAGUCACGAUUUGCUGACCCAUUAUAUGCGCAAACUCGAGACUUUGGUCGCCCUGCAAGGUAUUCAUGCAUGUUUUCAGAAUGUCCAUGCACAUUUAAGACAUGGAAUGCUUUAAUUUUGCAUCACGGUGCAUGAAACAGUUGGUGAAAAAAUUCAAAAAACGGAAAAACUUGAC